UCGGACACUGACAGAUCCCUUCCCCGAAGUUUCUGCACACACUUCACACAUUCAAACUUGCUCUGGUUUGUAUCAUGAAUCACAGGCAGAGUUCUAUUUCAGUAUAAAUACAUCUUUCUUUUUUAUGUUUUCUUAAUUUGUUUUGCUGUCAACAUUUCUACACAGCUCUCCCACUGCCAAGCUGACUACCAUCCAGCCCAGUAAGUGCCAGCAGCAUUGCAACUCAUUUAGUCAGUGGCCCAGGGACGUAUCACACAGCCCCGGUCCUGAUUACACAUGAUCAAAGAUGGAUUCUUCAACAGUUUGAUUACAUAUUUGAGCUUGAAUAAAGUCCACAUGCCUGUGAAACGACUAAUUGAUUGGAAUUAGGACUUUUAUGAUGAUUUAAUACAACAAUUGAAAUGUUCUUCAGGGUUGACCUCCGUCAUUGGAGUUGCACUACAGUAUGUGCUGCAUUUGAUUACAGGGAAAGUUGAUUAUCAGAAAAUAUGGUACAUAUGAAGUGAUUUUCUGCCCUAAGUAAUAUUAUUCUGUAUAGUUAGAGCUGAAAAAAAGAUGACAUGGGGACUUCAGUCAAGACAAAAUGCACGAGCUAAUGAGACUGGUUAGGGAUUCAAAUUUAUGGAAAUUGUAUUAAUUACAGAAACCUAUCUUUCAUCCGUACCAUUUAGUGGUGAAGUAAUUAAAAACCAACAAUGACAGUCCCAGCAGUGGAGAAAGCAAACAAGAUCAAAGAAAGUGGAGCCUUCACCAAAAAGUAGCAUGCGAGCUGAACUGGGCAUGGCCACGGGCAACAGGGUCUCAUUAAAGUCAGCCUGUGUUGAUCAGCAAUUAACCUGUUUUGUGUUGCCUCUGAUUGAAACUUGCACAACGCCGUUUUAAGGUUUGUGCAUAAUGUUUGUCUGGAGAUGACCAAGAGGAAGCGCUGCCUCGGGUCAUUUACAAACAUCCUUUGAUUGGUUGACUGGAAAAGGACGAUUGAUUGUUGAGUCAACUGGCCUCAAUAAAUAGUGAAUAAUGUCUUUAUACAUGAAGACAUCUUGAUACUAUUAACAUGGAGGAUGAUCUUCUAAAUGAUGUAAAACAAUGUGUAGGUAAGACAGAGAUUUCAGUUUUAGCUUUUGUUUUCAUUAUUAUUAAGUGAUAAUAAGAGCAAAGGAUGUUUGAACCAAAAUGAGAUGUUACAAACAUUUAUCACCUGUCCAGGGUCUAAGCAAAGGAUGCAAAUACAUACGCAUACCUAAUUCAAUUAAAUCUGUGCUAAUUGGAUUUCUAGGUGAGGAAGAAGUAAUCUUACCUUUAGUGAUUAUUAUUAUAUUAAAUUAUUUCCAAAUGAUGUUCUUGAAUGCUUAACAAACCUUUACUGUGCGUCAUGUCAUGUAAGUGGCUCCAUUAGCUGCUUUUUUCAGGAACUGCAUUAAAUAAGAACACUUCCUUUUACACUGUUUUUUUUUUUUUCAUUUAAGGAAUGCCGAAUCCUGAUUUUACCAGAAAUCUUUACCUGACUCAAACUCUGAGGUGAAGACAAUCACUCAAACCAGUCGAGUGGAGCUUCCAGCCGCUGACAAAGAACCGUCAGAGACCCGACGCCGCGGACAACAAACGCAUGGCCAGUCUUAACUUCUAUUAUGAGCGGUGAAAGUCAUAUUUAAAAUGAGAGAUUAGCCACUCAUCAUAAUAUUGGCGGAUUACUACCUGCGAUGAAAGCAACCCCCUGGUUCUGGGUCGAUAAGAGUUUGACUGCAUUUCGAAUUAAUUUUCCUCCGCUUAAAGAGCUGGACUCCUAUCUUGUUAUUGAUCACUGCGUUAAUCCAUAACCAAGCACAUCCUUUCCCCCGCGGAAAGAGCGGUAUAAUAUAAAACGAUCGCUCUUGACAGCGUGUAUAAAAACAGACUUAGAAGUGAUUAGGGUGCAUUAUUAAAGAACGUGUUACCGGAAUAUUUUCUCGUAUCAGUUCAUUUCGUAUCUGCAGUUGUCCUUUUUUUAAACAAUUUUACGCCAACAGUGGUUCUGUUCUGUAUUCCCUUUGGUCUGGAUUGUGAUUGAUUGAUUUCCCCGACAGGAGGAGCACUUCACACCUCGGCUGCUUUUCUCUGUUUGUCUUUUCCAACAGAGGGACCUCCACAGUGGAUGAAAUUUAGCCCCAACCUCCGACCUUUGGGUCCAGUGUUUGUCUCCAGUCCAGUGACCACAAACAACUCUUGGAUUGCUGUAAAUGUCAGUGCAGCGACGUCUGCACCAUUCUGUCCUGUGAACCCUGCUGCACUCAACCUGCACCAACAGGACACUUUCCUUCAUGCUGAAUUGAUAUAUCAGCUUUCCUCCCUUUGACGCCUCUGUAAACUGAGCGACUGUCAUCAAGCAAAGAGCAACGAGGGAAUGUUUUUACAAAGCUUUGUUUUACUCGGCUCUUCAACCUUUUAAAUUUGUAAUUUGCGGCACUUCUAAUGAAAAUAUUAUUUAAAUUAAUCUCAUUUUGGGGAUUCAAGAUUUUUGUUUUCCUGCCUAAAGAGUGCAGGAUGAGUUACUGGAAGUGAACCGCUUAGCAGACGAAACAGCUCGCACCCUCCGUCAAAAAGCUCAAAUAUAACAGAUUGUGAUUCUUGUUCUGAAGACAUUGGUUGUAAUGCGUCACCGCUUUGAAGCACUUUGUUUCACCCUUCCCCCCACCCAUAAACAUACACACUCCCCUUCCCUCCUCUGCGGGCCUCCCGAGGUUGGUGUCUCUGCGUUAGGACUCUAUUGUUGCCUACUGCUGGAUAAUGCCCUUAUUAAUUGUACCUCUUUGUAAGGUGUCAGCUGUAGCCCCCGAUUGAGAUGGAUGGAUCUCUGGAGUCUGCUCCCUGACCCUCCACAGACCCUCUAUCUCUGCACAGCACACAGAUACAACAGUGAGCGCUGACACACUAUGACGAAAAGCUGAGAUAAAACAGGCGUGUUUUCAUUAUUCCACCGAGAAAAAGAAUCGUGUUUCUAAAAACUAAAGAGCUCUUUUUUUCUGUCAAUUUAAGGUACGCUAGCAUGUGAUGUGUUUUAAUUAUCUGAAUAUCUGAGUGUCUCAUAGCUCAUAGAACUGAUAAAAUAUAUUUUUUUUAUUGAUUAUUUUUAGUGUUUUGCAGAAAUACCGGUUAAUUAGGUGGAUUGCAGCUUCUGUGAGAUCAACGGCAUUAACAUCAAAUCCUUUCCUUCUCAUUAAAGGAAACAAAGUCAAUUUAAUUAAUGCAUAUUAAUCCCCACUGAUGCUCAUUUCAGCUUUAAGAAAAAGCAUGGGACUGUGGUCUUCACAUUUAUCCAUUAAAGGAAUAUAACUUGAUAGCUCUCUGAAUCAACAUAUACACUUAAUACUUAGCUUCAUUAGCUGAAUUGUUAGGAUUAUACCUGUAGACGUGAUUGACAUUUUAAAUGUAUUUGUAUGUAAUCCCACUUAAAGUCUCACGCAUAUUCCAAAUGUAAUAAAUUACACUUAAAAUGUUCACUCUCAUGUCAUUGGGAACAAAUAUACUGAAAAAAUGAUGAAAAAUGAUGAACAUGAUCAUUUCUUUUUUUAAAUGUCUCCUGCUGUUAGCACACUUAACAUGGCUUCAUGAAUGUCAGAGGAUCCAACGCUAACUGACCCGCACAUCCGGAUCAGGCUGUUUGGUUGUUGAAUUUAAAAUAAUGAGUUGAUCUGAAGCCCCUCUGGUGACAUUGUCGAACCAGUUAAAAACAACAUUUGCACAGGGGUGGGAUGUUUAGGGUAUUUUCAUUAGAUGAUACAACAGUUCAGUAGAAAUUUGAGUCAAUGAUGUGAAAAACUUAAUGGCACAUUUUCUCUGAACCUUUUUAUUAGUUCCUCAUACAUGAGGUAACAAAUAUUCUGGUAAACAAAUUUGUUCUUGUCCUUAAAAUCGUCAAAUUGCUGAACAUAUUGUAAUUCUUCCUCCACAGUUCUGCUCUGAAACAACACGGUAUCCACACAAGCAGAAGGAGACUGAAGUAGAGGGAAAAAAGCGCCGACCAGAAAAUGGAGAUCCUCUCCCUUCAGAUCCCAUUUAGAGAGGCCCUGCGCAUUUUUAAAGUGUCAAUUGUUUUUGUCUCUUGAAGUGUGGAUGGAAUGUUUGAAUUCCAGUAUUAACUGUAGUGCCUGCUGAGUUAAAUUAUGGUCCCUGGGCUGUGGGGUGGGAGUAAUCAAUAAGAAUACACAAGGCAGUGUGUAAUGUGUCUGCUCCUAGCAGCAGGGACACUGUCCCCCUUACCCUGUCCCCCAGCAGGUUAGAUAAAUAUGAUACUGAAACAGGGCACACUGGAUUAUAUGAUAUCAAUGUAGAAUCAGGGAAGUGCUAUUACGCUCCCCGAGCCCACUGUGAGUACUAUUGACAAGGUUGGCUUUGAACAUGGGAGCGUAUUGCUCUCUCUUCUCGCCCUCGCUCUCUUCUCUCUCUCUCUCUCUCUCUUCAUGUGUAUAAUACGAGGAACCGCAGGAAUAAAGGGAUCUAUAUUUCACUUAGCUUUGAUUAAAAGGGCUAUUUUAUGCCCAUGGCUUGAAGACGUCUUUAUUGCACCCACAAGUUAAUCUGUGAAGGGCGUGCUGUGAUCUAAAUUUCCAGAUGCUUCUUUGCAUAAAGAGCCAAUAAUGUAGAAUCAAUAUACAAUUGAUUUGAUUUUUUAACGCCCUGCGACACAAGUGCUCUUGACAUUUUCCUAUUGAUAACUGUGUAUUUUCUCUUUCUCGCGUUGAUGUUGCCAAAUGUCCGACCAAUUAACUAGCGUGCCGAUGUUGUUGCCCGGCUGCCUGCUAGUUGCUCGUACAGUAACCUCAUAUCACUGAUCUACUCACGGUAUUGAUUAACUCUCCCUCCUCCGCGGUGAAAGGAUCAAACCUGGCAUGUCUAAAAGGCCAUUAUCAGCGUCCACUUCACAUAACCUGCCACAACCUGAUACAGACCCUUUCACAGGUCGCAACCUAUCUGCCCUCUGCAGCCACCGUACCUCCUCUGACCCCCCAACCAUCAUUAUCAUGCUUGUGUUAAAUGACAUACAGGUCAAGAAAAUGGCACCGUGUUGAUGUCUCACAUGUGAAUAAUCCAUGCAUCGCUGCAAAAUGUCAAGCUUCUGCUUUAACAAAUAGAUUCUACCAUAGUGGCCAAAGACAAUGUAUUUAAAAAAAACUGUCCGAGAUGGAGCACAUUCUCUUGAUUAAAUUGGAGGUGCAGGUGUAAUUUUCAUAGCCUGUGGCAUUUUGUUUAAAUGUGUCAGGUCCUAAAUAUCACUACAGUUUGUGAAGCAUUAUUUCUAGAAACACUUUCACAGUGAGACAAAAUCACUUAAAGGUUUAAAGCAGCAUUUCAUUUGUACACUUAAUUUAGACAUUCAGUCGUCCCUUUAUUUCAAUUAAAACCCUAACAAGUGUUCUGGGGUCUUGAUUUGUUGCACUGUUACAAUUUCCAAAGUGCUUUUUUUUAUUUUUUAUUCCGAGCCAAAUCUAGAUAUUAAAGCCUUUUUUUUUUUUAGGCCAGGUAUUAGUCACAUCGCGGUUGCUUUCACACAAAAGAUUUGGCAGAAGCCAAUUUGCAUAAGGUCAGAGUCAAGCUCCUGAUGGAAGUUGUGCAGCAUCCCCGUCUCUUAGCAACACUCUUCCCCUCUUGGUGUCUGUGUUGAAUUGACUGGUCUUUGGCACUCAUCUUUCACCAAGAAAAUUCAUAAUGAAAUACCACCCGACAACCUGCCUCCAUCACCGAGAGGCACUCCUCGCUUUCCUCCUGGGUGACAGUACUUUUACACCGGCAUCAGUAAACGCUCAGCAGAGAAGAACGCUGCUUUUCGCUCAUAUUUGCGGGCGACUUUUGGUUUAAGGAGGUGGAUAAACAUGUUUAUUAAGAAUUGUGCCAAGAUUAGAGGCAAAUUAGCAGGUAAUUGGAGACACCUGCAAAACAAAGGGGAGGAUGGUGGAGGUGGUGGUGUGGAGCACGAUGAAGGAAGGGAUUGGUCUUCCGGGCUGGCCUCCGCCCAUUUAUUGGUGGGUGGGGUGAGGGCGUUUAGAAAUGACGUUUUGAGAAAAUGACUUUUGUCCUCUUCCGUGUAGAACAGCAUCCAGAUGCUGCCAAGAGAUGUUAAUAGAGGGUCACCUUUUGGACAAUAGUAUCCAUCACAACUGCCUCCGUACUCCAAGCGCGACGCUUUCUUGGUCAAAAGAAGGAAUGCGCUGCAAUUACUGUUGUUGUUUUUUUGGCAAAGGCAUUCAGCCACAGACUAUACUGCAAUUAUCGCUCUGCUGAUGAUUUCCAUCAUCUUGGUCACAUGUGGUCACAUGUGGUCUUUGCCCAGCACAUUUGAACUUUCCGUGAGAGGUGAAAUCCGUACACAUGUAUCGCCCACUCCUUUACAUCUUCCUCGUCCUUUUAUAGUCACACGUGUCGUCGUGCUCUUCCUCUUCGCGUCGAAGUCACGACAGGUGCCGCGCGGACAUUAAACCCGCCGCUUUGUGUUUUACAGCGCGCCGCGUUUCACCGCCUGUGCACAUUUCAGCUUUCCACAUCCACGCACCGUUCAACCGGCUCCCGGCACUGCAAUAGUUUAUAUUAAAUCUAAAUUAUUUCAAAAUAUUUCUAAUUUAUUUCAUAGUAUUAUUAUUAUUAUCAAAUUAUAUUUACACAUUUAAAUAUGAAAAUAUAAUGUUUUUUUUAUGUCGGGCAGAGACGUGUUCGAUUCAGGUUGCAGAAAUAUAAAUGUGAUUUCUGUGCUGUUAUAAAAUAAUAAAAGAUAAAUAAAUAAAUAAACGGCAUGAAGCUCAUUCACCCGGACUAAGGGCUGUUGCAUGGUGACCACAUGCACUGUUGAUACAAAUUGUGACAGGUCGGUAUUUUUAUUUUAAUGACGAGUUACCGACUGAGAGCCAAAGGACGAAGAGGCAUCUAAAUACAUUUGUUUUUUGUUCUAUUUACAUUUUAAAUAGUUCAUCAUCCACUGGGAAAAAUCGACGGAAUUUGCUCUCACCCGCGUCUCAAUAUAUUAAUUGGUGUAUUUAAAAAAAAAAGAAGAAGACAAAAUAAACUGUCUGUGCCGACGCGGAACUUCCCCUCUCUGUGCGCAUCGCGCGCGCUGCCGCUCCGUGUCCGACAUCCCGAUCGCGCACGCGGGGGGUUUUCUCCCCUCGUUGCUGUUUCUCGCUGCCAGGGGUCGUCCGGUUCUGUCGCACGCUUUUAGUGACUUCAUCAUAACCAAAUGACUAAUUGUCACCCUUUAAUUGCGAUUUAAUUUGAUCCCUCAGGCCCCUGCAAAUCCGUGUAAAAUAACAGAAUAGAUUGCUGCCAAUAGCGCACCUUUGGUGAAUCCUAUUGAUUGAUGCACGAGAGAGAGAGGGAGAGAGAGAGAGAGGCAGAGGGAGGCAGAGGGAGCGCACCUGCCUCUAUCUGUCCAUCUCGGGAUCAUGAACACACCAAGUGGGUCUAAUUUUCUGAGACGUUCAGCUGGGAUGUGUCUCAAUUGGGACUGAGAUCAGGGGCUGUGAUUGUCUAUUGCUUUAGAUUGGCUCGUUCAGUGCAAUUCUGGAAACUUUUAUUGCAAUCCACCGAUUGUAAUGAUGGAGAGCCCUCGAUGUGGCAGCACUGAUUACAUCAGCCCGUCUCUACCUUUCCUUCAUCUCGGCUAUGUAUUCCGUCCACCAACAGCUAAAGCUUUCACGAGCUCGCCAUUACUGACCGACAGAUGAACGAUCUGAUCUGAGUUUUUAUUCUGCUCGAUAAUCUGUUGACCUCAUUGCAUAAUUUGAAGAUCCCCCAAAAGAUGGAUUCAAACUAUGGCCAGAUGUUUACAUUAUGCUUUGAAAUUACAAAGCUCGUUUCCUAUUGGCCGUUGAUCUUUGUAAUUUACUUUUCAAAAGAGCACGAGGCUCCUCUUCACCAGUUGCGAAAUCAUUUUCCCAUGCAAAGUUAGCAGCGGGGUAAAAAGUAUUCAGAUCAUACUUUGGUUGAAGUAGAAAUGCUGUUCACAUUUCAGAAAAGGCCCCUUGUAAUAAUUAUAGAACUUAAUUAUUUUACUCACAUUAUUAAAUAUUGUUUUUAUUUGUAAUGCUGCAUUCAAUCUAAUGAGAUAAUUUUUAUAAAAGAGAAAAGUCUGUGAAGUCUACUACAGCUGCAUAGUCGUAGAAUUCAAGUAAAUCCCUCUGAAAAGUAGAAGUAUUGCCGUUCCACAAAGUUCUUAAAUUGACUUAGUUUCAGCUAUAAAACUAGGUUUUGUAAACUUUGUUUAUGCAGAAUCAAAUUAUUCUUCCUACAGUUCCCACCGGUGUUUAGAUAAAAGAAUAGAUUCAUACAGACACGCACACGACACAGUCUUAUCUGCAAAUUGUACAUAAACUUAAACCAAAAACCAAAUGACUUAUUGUGAUAAAUGGACUUGUAUAUUAGUUUAUUCAUCAAAUUAUAACAUUGGAUCACAAUUACUGAUACGUUGAUUUAGCAUGUUUAGGUGGUAAAGCACAACCCCAUGUUGUUUAAAAUGUACAUUUGCAAGUCCUUUUAACACUCAUGUUUAGAGUAAAUGAAAUGAAAUACCAGUACGUCAAAAUUGUGCUGAAGUAGCUGAGUAAAUGUACUUAGUUGCUUCCCCCCACUGCAGCUCACAAUAAAUCACACUCAUGUGUCUGCAGGCGAUGAUCACUAUCAGCAUGUGAUUUCCAGCAUGUUCUUGUGAGAAGCUUCCCUGUGACAUAUGGAGAUGCUUCCUUCCACAGCCACACCUGACUGAUCCUCUCUCCUCUCUCUCUCUCUACACAGAUGAUAUCACACAGCUGACUGCGACAAGAUUCCCAAAUGGCUCUCCCUUACAGUGAGACAUGUCAUCUGACCAUGUCGCCCCUGCUAAAUCCAAAUAUUGUGCAUUGUUGGUAAAGAGAGGGGUCAGGCAACUUGUGCGUCGUGUUUUCCAGGCUCUGUUCUCUAAUUAAGUAUUCAUGAAACAGCAGUGGGAGCAAAGUGUAGGUUUACACCGGCGGUCGGGACGGCAUCACCCCCACUUCCCAUGUGUAAUGCCCCCCCCCCCACACUCCCCCCCCGGCUGGCAGACAGGCCAUCAUUCCUAGUGUACUCCCAGCAAUGAUAUCAGAAAGGUUUUUUGGUCAAGCCAAAGAGAGGUCACUCUAAUAAUACCCAGGGUCAGUGGUGGGAGCCGGCGAGUCUCCCAGUCAUUAUUCAUUUGUUCACAGAGUUAAUGACAGUUGCAGGGGGACGAGAACUUGGAGCCAGCAGCCAUGUGAUGUCACCAACACAUGCCAAGGGAUUAGGAGGGCAGGCAGGGGACAAGAAGUGUGGAUUAUACAGGGAAAUGGAACCACAGCAACAACCUUUCGUGCUCCGUCAACCAACUCUGCAUGUUUGCUGCUGGAGUUAUGACAGACGCACACACAGAUGUCACUGAAUUAUGACAAUUGGCUCAUAUUGUAGCAACAGCGUUGCCGAAUAAAGGAAUAAAAUAAACCGCG